UACGUAGGGUGCAAGCGUUGUUCGGAAUUACUGGGCGUAAAGCGCGUGUAGGUGGUCAAACAAGUCGGAUGUGAAAGCCCUCGGCUUAACCGAGGAAGUGCGUCCGAAACUAUUUGGCUAGAGUACGGGAGAGGAGGAUGGAAUUCCCAGUGUAGAGGUGAAAUUCGUAGAGAUUGGGAAGAACACCUGUGGCGAAAGCGGUUCUCUAGACCGUAACUGACACUGAGACGCGAAAGCGUGGGGAGCAAACAGG
rnacentral:rRNA from 1 species